UACGGAGGGUGCAAGCGUUGUUCGGAAUUACUGGGCGUAAAGCGUGUGUAGGCGGCUAGGUAAGUCAUAUGUGAAAGCCCUCGGCUCAACCGAGGAAGUGCAUCUGAUACUGCUUAGCUUGAGUCCUGGAGAGGGGUGUGGAAUUCCCGGUGUAGAGGUGAAAUUCGUAGAUAUCGGGAGGAACACCAGUGGCGAAGGCGACACCCUGGACGGAGACUGACGCUGAGACA
rnacentral:rRNA from 1 species